rnacentral:lncRNA from 1 species
UUGCUCUCUAUUCGAAGCGCCUCUUCCGCCGAAGUGGAAGACAAACCGGCUGCUGCUUUUGCUGUUGUGAGUUGUUUUUCUAGGUGUGACCGCCAAUAAUAUCAACAUUGCCGCUUGGGUUUCCUCUUAGUCUUUCCGGCUUCGCUUUUCUGCUAUCUAUAAGUGAGUGCUUCUUGCUUCCUCUUUUAUCUCCUCCUUUAGAUUUCUGUGCCGGGGUUAAUGGACUACAGUGGCUUCGGCAGCUUUUAAUUGCUAUCCAGGAGUUUGUUGCAAAUUUUUUCUUCCCCUGUUUGUUUACGAUAUAAUCUUUAACGGUGAAAAGCUAGGAAAUUACAACUACCUUUAGUUGGAACAGAUACUUAGAUGCGUUGUUAUUUAUACUCCAAAUUCCGUUGUUCUUUUAGGACGGAGGGAAUUAAUUUUUAAUUUUAAGUUACUUUAUCUUAUCGUGAACAGAACUGUUCUUGAUUAUCACAGAGUAAUUUUUAGUUUCUGUACCAGAAGUAGAAACAUUUACUAAUGGUGAAUUUUAGGUUCAGCAAUUUUUCUUGUCUUAAGGAAAGAGGCGUUCAAACGGAGUGGAGAUUCAUAUAGUCGACCCGACUAGCUUCGGAAUAAGGAUAUUUAUUGUUAUUGUUGUUGAUUAAGGGAUAAGAGGUGUUCAAACGGAAUGAAGAUUCAUAUCGCUGAUUCGACUAGCUUGAGAGCGAGGAUAGUUAUUGUUGUUAUUGCUGGCUUUAGGAAUAUGAAUUAAGAUUUGAGAGCUCAAAGGGACUG